rnacentral:rRNA from 1 species
GACGAACGCUGGCGGCGUGCUUAACACAUGCAAGUCGAACGGAAAGGCCCUGCUUGCAGGGUACUCGAGUGGCGAACGGGUGAGUAACACGUGGGUGAUCUGCCCUGCACUUCGGGAUAAGCCUGGGAAACUGGGUCUAAUACCGGAUAGGAGCCAUUUUUAGUGUGAUGGUUGGAAAGUUUUUUCGGUGUAGGAUGAGCUCGCGGCCUAUCAGCUUGUUGGUGGGGUAAUGGCCUACCAAGGCGGCGACGGGUAGCCGGCCUGAGAGGGUGGGCGGCCACAUUGGGACUGAGAUACGGCACAGACGCCGACUGUAGGCAGCAGUGGGGAAUACUGCACCAGGGGCGCAAGGCUGAUGCAGCGAGGCCGCGUGGGGGAUGACGGCCUUCGGGUUGUAAACUCCUUGCGCUAGGGACGAAGCUUUUUGUGACGGUACCUAGAUAAGAAGCACCGGCUAACUACGUG